rnacentral:rRNA from 1 species
UACGUAGGUGGCAAGCGUUGUCCGGAUUUACUGGGCGUAAAGAGCUCGUAGGCGGUUUGUCGCGUCUGCUGUGAAAAUCCCCGAGGCUCAACCUCGGGCCUGCAGUGGGUACGGGCAGACUGGAGUGCGGUAGGGGGAGAAUGGAAUUCCUGGUGUAGCGGUGGAAUGCGCAGAUAUCAGGAGGAACACCGAUGGCGAAGGCAGGUCUCUGGGCCAUUAAC